GAUGAAGAACGUAGCGAAAUGCGAUAAGUAAUGUGAAUUGCAGAAUUCCGUGAAUCAUCGAAUCUUUGAACGCACAUUGCGCCCGCCAGUAUUCUGGCGGGCAUGCCUGUUCGAGCGUCAUUACAACCCUCAGGCCCCCGGGCCUGGCGUUGGGGAUCGGCAGAAGCCCCCUGUGGGCACACGCCGUCCCUCAAAUACAGUGGCGGUCCCGCCGCAGCUUCCAUUGCGUAGUAGCUAACACCUCGCAACUGGAGAGCGGCGCGGCCAUGCCGUAAAACACCCAACUUCUGAAUGUUGACCUCGAAUCAGGUAGGAAUACCCGCUGAACUUAAGCAUAUCAAUAAGCGGAGGA
rnacentral:misc_RNA from 1 species